UACGUAGGGUGCGAGCGUUUGUCCGGAAUUAUUGGGCGUAAAGAGCUCGUAGGCGGUCUGUCGCGUCGGUCGUGAAAACUUGGGGCUUAACCCUGAGCUUGCGGUCGAUACGGGCAUGACUGGAGUUCGGCAGGGGAGACUGGAAUUCCUGGUGUAGCGGUGAAAUGCGCAGAUAUCGGGAGGAACACCUAUGGCGAAGGCAGCUCGCUGGGACGGUACUGACGCUAAGGCGCGAAAGCGUGGGAGCGAACAGG
rnacentral:rRNA from 1 species